rnacentral:rRNA from 1 species
UAAAUUUUGUUGGGGUGACAGAAAAAUUGAAUAAACUUUUUCUAUAUAAGAACAUAUAUUAAUGAAUAAUUGAUCCAAAUUUUUUGAUUAUAAGAUAAAAUUACCUUAGGGAUAACAGCGUAAUUUUUUUUGAGAGUUCCUAUCGAAAAAAAAGAUUGCGACCUCGAUGUUGGAUUAAAGUUUAAUUUUGGUGUAGAAGCUAAAAAUUUUAGGUCUGUUCGACCUUUAAUACUUUACAUGAUCUGAGUUUAAACCGGUGUAAGCCAGGUUGGUUUCUAUCUUUAAUAAUUUAAAAUAUUUUAGUACGAAAGGACCAAAUAUUUGUUAUAAUAGUUUAGAUUUGAAUAAUAAU